rnacentral:tRNA from 1 species
AGCAGCGUGGCUCAGUGGAAAGAGCCUGGGCUUCAGAGUCAGAGGUCAUGUGUUCGACUCCCAUCUCUGCCA